rnacentral:lncRNA from 1 species
ACUUUUACAUACCGUCUCUAUUUUUCCAUGUUUUUCAGAUGAGUUCUCCCUUGAGCAGCAGAUUGGAGAUUUGCCUGGCUCAGAGACGAGACUAAUGGAGCUUCACUUAUAUAGGAAGGAAACACAGAAAGCGGGUCCUUAUUCAUCAGAUAACAACAUUAUUUGUACCACUGACAAUAUUCAGAGAAAAAAUCUGCUAAGCAACACUGGGAAGAUUCAAGAGCUAAAUCAACAGGUGGCCUCCCUUCAAAACGUCAUCAUACAAGUUCAGGAGAUUUACCAUGGUCUGGUAGCCUUCUCUUCAGAGCUGAAGAAGAUGGAGGGGGCGAUGGAUGCAGUACAAACAGACAGCUUUGAAGUGAAGAGGCUUCUCAGUGAGACCCAGGACAAUCUGCAGAGGAAAAGACAGAGCCUUCAAACACUCAGGGACAAUCUUAACACUGCACCAGUGCAGAAGAAUAAGCCGUCAGAGGUCCGACUUCUGGAGAAGAUGAGGCUAAACUGCCAGGUGUUUAAAGAUGAGAUCACACUAGUCCACCUCAAUCGACAGGUGGCUCACCUACGUGAAGUUCUGGAGAAGAUGCAGGCCAAGGAGAAAGCCGAGAGGAAGAGCCCUACUCUGACUCAGCUGGUCUCUUUGCAGUCUCCUGUCAUGCUGGUGGCCACCCAAGUGAAAGCAGACCCAGACGGUCAUUACGGUUUCUCUGCGCACUGCGUAGAGGGCCAGGGUCUGAUGGUGGUACAUAGUGAGGGUGCUAAUCUCUGCCUGAAUGACAGGCUGGUGGAGGUAAACGGAGUGAACGUCUUGGGGAGCAGUGAGGAUGAGUUGGAGUCGAUGCUUAAGACACACACUGCCCACAUUGUUGUUCUUCGGCAGCUGGCAAAAGAACUUCCACAGGAAGACCCAUCUGCCCCCACUUCAGACAGACAAAUGCUGCAGAAACAUCAAGCAAUUUCUUGAAAUGUGUCCAGACCUGUCAUCUGUGUAUGGAAGACCUGAGGAUGCCACAGCAUGAAUAUUCCCAUCAUCACAGCAGGAAUUGCUCCAGCGCACUGACUGUCAGACAUAGCUGCUAAAGUUUAUGGAGCAGAAACAUUUGCCACAUGCAGACGUAUAGCGCAUUUCUUCGGGAUUGCCUUCCCUCUGGCCAAAAACCUCCAUAUAUGCAUUCUGUUAGGAUCUAAAGCCAGUAAAAAUAGUUUGGCCUCUUUUAGAGGGAAAAAAGUUUCGCUUAACAAACGGAGGGGGCAGCUCGGCAUUUUAGAGUUGUUUUUUUGGGGGGUGUUGAAGCACAGUAAGGGUGGCUGUGGCUUUUCGGGGCUUUCUGGCAGGCUGUACUUUAACUUAACAGCCAGUGCAAUAUGUCUAGAGGACACCGACUGGUAUGUGUGUGCACCGCAUUCAAAGACUAUAACAGCUCAGUCUACAGGGCCGCUGACGUAUCGUUUAACAUGGACACGUUUAUCCUUGUAAUGUAUAUGAUGUGUAUUGUUAGUGUCAGUUGAUAUUUAAAUAUAAACCCAGAGCAUUUCGACCUUAUGGUGUGUGUACAGAGUUAAACAGCUGCAGCCAAUCGAUCCAAGUACACACAAUUUAGCCGUCUAUCUUUUCACUCCCUCUUUACAUCCGAAUGAGUCAUUCAAGGCAAGGACAUUUAGAUAUCGGCCAAGUUCCAUAAUGACCUGCAGUGACAAUCUUGUCUCCAUUUACUCCAAACAUCACUGGAUAGACUUAGGGCUAUUGCCCAAAAUGGGUCACUAAAGAUGAUGGAAAGGAUUCGGUUAUUAACAUCAUAUGCUGUUUUAUAUGCAUUUUUGGACGGUACUUACAGGAGGAAGAUGUUCUAGUUGUGCACUCUUGCAUUGCGCUUGUUGGCUGACCCUCGAAUCAUACAGUAACACCCCUGGGCAUCUGUUCUGUUUUAGGAUUGUAGAUAUGACCAACUCAAGCUUUCCAGAUAAGCAGAAGCAGACAUCUGUCUCUCUCUCUCUCUGAACUCAGCACUUCCAGGUUCAUCUCUCUCCCAUCUGCCCCCCAUAACAUGAGCCCCACUCCUGCCCACCCGACAUUUAAGGAGCUCCUGGCAUUUGUUUGAAGUUAGUGUAGGCAUUAGCUCUGGUUUCCUGCUUCAAAUCCCUAUGCAGACCCAAUAAAAGGUCUGUAGGUUGAAAAUUCACUAAAGUAGAUUACUGUCUGUACAGAAAUGUAAUGCAAACAAACUUGGAAUUUACUGGCUAUUAUGAGGAAAUUUUUCUGGCACCCAGUGACUUUCCCCCUAGUGAGGCUUUAUGGUUAGUCUGAGAUAGACAGGAACUCCUUGUAACCCCUACCAGCAUUACUAGUUUUACCACUUCAUCGACAGCUGCCCAGUUACGCAGAUUUGUACUGUAUAUACAAUAUUACAUAUAAGUAACAUUGCAUGAGUAAGAGUGAAUGAGAGUGAGACUGCUUUCAUAAAAAUUCAAUACACUAAUAAAACCAUAUCCAAAGGAAAAUUAACCAUUGUGUCUCCGAACAACACACAGCAGUGGCAUUACUUAUUAAAUCAUUGUUUUUAUAUGAAUCGUUUGUAUGAAUAA